rnacentral:rRNA from 1 species
UACCACGGAGUCUAGCAUGUGUGCGAGUCAUUGAGUCAUAUCCUAUAGAUAAAACUGAAAGGCGCAACGAAAGUGAAGGCGGACGCUCGCCGUCCGCUCAGGGAGGAUGGAGUUACGAUCUAGGUCGGAACUCUCGCACUCCCGAGGCGUCUCGUUUCCAAUCAGUGAAUGCAGGCGCGCUCUGAGCACAGAUGCUGGGACCCGAAAGAUGGUGAACUAUGCCUGGUCAGGUCGAAGUCAGGGGAAACCCUGAUGGAGGACCGUAGCGAUUCUGACGUGCAAAUCGAUCGUCGGAACUGGGUAUAGGGGCGAAAGACUAAUCGAACCAUCUAGUAGCUGGUUCCGUCCGAAGUUUCCCUCAGGAUAGCUGGCGUCGAUGUUUGAACAGUCUCAUCCGGUAAAGCGAAUGAUUAGAGGCAUUGGGGCCGAAACGACCUCAACCUAUUCUCAAACUUUAAAUGGGUGAGAACUCCGGCUUACUCGAACGAUGAAGCCGGAGAUCUGAUGACGGUGCCAAGUGGGCCAAUUUUGGUAAGCAGAACGAGCGCUGUGGGAUGAACCAAACGUAGUGUUAAGGCGCCUAAAAAACGCUCAUGGGACACCAUGAAAGGCGUUGGUCGCUCAUGACAGCAGGACGGUGGCCAUG